rnacentral:sRNA from 1 species
CUUUUUUUUCAGCCCGCCGUCUCUUGCGGAAGACAGAACGAUAGGUUCUUUCUUCCGCGAGGGACGGCGGGCUUUUUGCAUGUCGAC